GAGUGUGCAAGUGUGUGUUUGUGUUGUGUGUCGACAAGAAGCAGAAAACAAGCAUGGGAAGAGACAAAACUGAACUUUUGAAGAUGAAAUCUAUAAAACAAAAGAUCAACCAUUGAUCUUUAGUAAAGGAUUUAACAUGGAAGUCAAUGCUUCGGUAAGAGAAGUCAAGACCCAAUCUCUCCUACGGACAAAUGUAAGUUAACCUUACUUUAUUAUUAUCUACGGUACCUACUCGAUGUGGAUGAAUCAUAAGUUCAUAACCUAUUCAUACAAGCAUAUAACUACCUAAUAGCAUGUGCUAUUAAGUAGCUAUACAUCUGGACUAAGGACACUAUAAUUGUUAUUGAUAUGGUUAAAUAUAUGUUUUUUUAGUAUCCAUAUUGUUGCUACUGCUGCUAUUAUAGUGUGUGCAGAAGUAUUUAAUUUGUUGCUAUUGACCAGCAUUUAAAACUAUAUAUCUGGUCGUUUGGCUGCCACUUGUACAUUGUACAAAAUUGUAUAUUAUCGUCGCUGAUUGGUUUGAAUUUCAGUCGGUAGGUGUGUCGCUUUGGUCGCCAUUUCUCUCUUACAUGAAGAUAGCACAUAGUUUUCUUAAAAAAAAUGGUGGUUCAUCCAGGUAAGGUGACUGUUAUAUUAAUAUGGAACCCAAGUUGAAGAUUGACUUUAUAAUCAAAAAACGGUUCUUAAUCUUUGGGUUACGUCAUCAUUUGUUGGUUCGGGAAGAUAUGAAAGGUUAAUAUAUAAAGAUGAUUGCAGGUUUUAUUUUAUAAUAAAGUUCUUAUACAGGUUAUAAUAAAAAAAAUCAAACUGGGAAAAUAAUCAAGCAUGUGUUGAAAAGACAAUGAAGUUUCGGUGGGAUGUUGAUCACGUCGUAAAUCUAACCAUGUCCAUAUACUUGUUGUAAAAAAAAAUUCCAUGGUUAAAUAUGUGUUAAUGCUUGCUUAGUCUAUACUAAUGAUGGGUGCUUAUACGCUUCCAGGUAUGAGGAUGAGGAUUAAAAGUCAAGGGUGAUAUGAGGAUGAGGAUUAAAAGUCAAGGGUGAUUAAGUGAACGGGAAACAGGGAUUAAAGUAAGUUGACGUUAAAUAAUACCGCAAAUGCUAUAAAUAGACAAGAAAAUGAAUAGGGAGCUAUUGAAGCUUGACGAUGAUCAUAAAGAUGAGGGUUUGGGAUUUGUAUAUGUGAUUGUCUAAGAAAGAUCAUACACAAGGUACACAAGUGAUAUUUCAUUAAAGUCAAUUAUACAAUUUGAAUUGUAGUAUUGAUGAUAAUCAUUGGUUGUAUGCAAGUGAUGAGCAAGUCCUCUCCAUGUAGCAAAGUUUUAAAUUAAACUUGAAACUUGUAUUUAAGUGAAUUAACGGUAUUCUUACUAUGGUAUUAUGAUAAAAUAAUAUAUGAAACUAUCUCAUCACCUUAAUGAGAUAACAAAAAUGGGGACCUAAAUUCCGCACUAACAAUUUUAUUAAAUGAUGGCAUAGAGACUUUUACAAAUUUUGGGUGUAACAUCAAUCACUAGCACGGAUUCCGCACGUAGCUUGUAGAUAAACCGAACUAGUCGGAGCGCAUAAUUAAAGGCGAUCACGGUCCUCACAGAACUCAUAACUUUUGGAUUUGAGAGGAGAUCAAAGUCCUAGUAGCUACUAAUCAAGAAAGGUCAUUGGAAAAAGCACAACAAACUGCUGCAAUUUAUGAUCUUGAUGAUGAAAUUAAUAGAGGUGGAGAUGAAGAGAAUGAUGGUGAUGUAGAUGAUAUCAUAUAUGAUAGUUUUGAUGAUGAUGAUGAUGAUGAUGACGAUGAUGGUGAUGGAAAAGGUGGUUUAAUAGCUGUUGACAUGGUCAAUAAAAGUUUAGAUGAUAAUGGUGGUGAUGAUAAAAGUGAGACUAGCAAAGUUGCUGAAAAUGUUGGUGAAGAUAGUGAGCAAAUUAGUACAUAUGGUGGAGAAACAAGAAUAAAGUCUUACUAUGAUGUUAAAUUAAUGUCUUAUAGUCAUGAAGUUGGAAGUUCUUCACAAGUUCAUAGGGUCUGGUAAACAAAUAGAGAUUGUUGAAGAACCAAUUGGUGCUACUCCAUUCUUUGCUUACUUUCUUGACAAAGAUUAAGAAUAGAAGAAUGUGAUUUGAUACACGGCUUGUCUAAAGAACAAGUAGCUGAAUUGUUUGGUAUUAAACCAAAUAAAGUAGUUAUUAAAGAAGAACCAGCUAGAAGUGAUAAAGAUGAUAGUUAUUAUUCGGAUGUUGAUCAGUUUGACAACGUUGAAGUAGAAGAUGCUUCGGAUGAUGAACAAGAAGUCUAUAUGAACAACAGAGGUGAAGAUCUUCCUACAUUCAAUGAUCUAAAUGAAAAAGAAACUGAAGAGUUAUUGAACAGAAAGAUUAAAGAGAAAGAAAGCUCAAUAGGUAAGCCAUUUAAAGAAGAGUUAAAGGACAAACAUGAUGAAUGGUUUAAGACGUCUAUUAGACAUAAUUGUAUUCCUCCAAGACAACUGAAGUUCUUUAAUCAAGAUAGGAAGAUUUCAAAAGGUGAUGUGAUAAGUUGGAAGGUCUUUCCAAAGUUACACUAUAUUGGAGUCAGAAGAGAGCAUCAUGUCCGGUAUUUUAAGAUAAUUAAUGGUAUCAAGACAUUGCCACAUUAGGAUGUCAGAGCUUUGUUAAGAAGAAAGCUGACAAAUAUUGAAGAAACUGGACAUUAUCAGUGGUUCAUAAGGUAGUUGAGGUAUGAAAGCAGAACUCAAUGGAAGAAUUUCACACCACACUUCCCACAAAGAAUAAGAUCAAGAACUAAGAAAGUUGACGGUUUGUUGUCAAUUACUCUUGUCUACAAACCAUCAAAGACAUUGAAGAAGAUACUAUUUCAAGAGAUGUAACAAGAUGUUUGUGAGAACUAAAAGCAGUGGUAUCAUAAUGAAUGAACUGGUGAGGCUCUGCUGGUGUUAUAUGAAGAGAAGAAAUAGAGAACUAUUCGGAUUUAUGAUCCAAUGUGGGUAGUGAAUAUGUCAGAGAAAGAUAUUGAAGUCUUGUUCUCCAAUCCCAUUUUUAUGAUAUGAGGGAUAGAGAACAUGCACUGGAGUACCAAAGAGUUGUGUGUAUAUGUUUUGCAUAUAGGAUACACGUGGGGAGUGAUUGGAAGACAAAGUCGAGAAGAGAGAAGACGAGAGAAUUGCGAAGAAGUAUGUUCGGAAUACCAAAGGCCGCAAGACAAAGACGACAACUAAAUCCAAGGGGGGGUCUGUUAGUACAUAAUGUGUCUUUAGCUUAGUCUUCUGUUUUGAAAGUGUCAGAGUCUGUAAUUAAGGAAAAAGUUCAGUUUGUUUUUGUUAUUUUUUUCUAAGUCUUUGUAACCACGUAUGAGUCAUGCAUAGAUAAUGCUGAACGUAUGAGUCAUAUAUCCGCAUGACUCAUGCGUAGGUCAAUUGUAUAAUGAAUGGGUGAUUCAUUGGUUUGUGUCA